AUUGAACGCUGGCGGCAGGCCUAACACAUGCAAGUCGAACGAGUGGCGGACGGGUGAGUAAUGUCUGGGAAACUGCCCGAUGGAGGGGGAUAACUACUGGAAACGGUAGCUAAUACCGCAUACCAUCUGAUGUGCCCAGAUGGGAUUAGCUAGUAGGUGGGGUAACGGCUCACCAAGGCGACGAUCCCUAGCUGGUCUGAGAGGAUGACCAUCCACACGGGAACUGAGACACGGUCCAGACUCCGACGGGAGGCAGCAGUGGGGAAUAUUGCACAAUGGGCGCAAGCCUGAUGCAGCCAGGCCGCGUGUAUGAAGAAGGCCUUCGGGGUGUAAAGUACUUUCAGCGGGGAGGCGUUACUCGCAGAAGAAGCACCGGCUAACUCCGUGCCAGCAGCCGCGGUAAUUC
rnacentral:rRNA from 1 species